rnacentral:lncRNA from 1 species
GAUAACGCCAAAUGGUAUAUCACUGAUUUUGUAGAGCUGCUGGGAGAACCGGAAGAAUAACAUCCAUUGUCAUACAGCUCCAAACAACUUCAGAUGAAUUUUUACAAGUUACACAGAUUGAUACUGUUUGCUUACAAUUGCCUAUUACAACUUGCUAUAGAAAGUUGGUACAGAUGAUCUGCACUGUCAAGUAAACUACAGUUAGGAAUCCUCAAAGAUUGGUUUGUUUGUUUUUAACUGUAGUUCCAGUAUUAUAUGAUCACUAUCGAUUUCCUGGAGAGUUUUGUAAU